UCCUACGGGAGGCAGCAGUGGGGAAUAUUGCACAAUGGGGGGAACCCUGAUGCAGCGACGCCGCGUGAGUGAAGAAGUAUUUCGGUAUGUAAAGCUCUAUCAGCAGGGAAGAAAAUGACGGUACCUGACUAAGAAGCCCCGGCUAACUACGUGCCAGCAGCCGCGGUAAUACGUAGGGGGCGAGCGUUAUCCGGAUUUACUGGGUGUAAAGGGAGCGCAGACGGCUGUGCAAGUCUGGAGUGAAAGGCGGGGGCUCAACCCCCGGA
rnacentral:rRNA from 1 species